rnacentral:tRNA from 1 species
GGUGCUGUGGCUCAGUGGUAGGGUGCUUGCCUUGCAUGCAUGAGACCCUGGGUUCGAUUCCUCAGCACCA